rnacentral:lncRNA from 1 species
GGGAGUUUAGUUAGAAUCUAAACCGAACCAGAUAUUGAUUAUUUUCUUCCAAUAACAAGAUUAGAGAUGUAUGUUAUCUAAAAUGAGCCCCAUGUUAUCUAUUCUAUUAAAAUAUAGUCUAUUUUUAUCGAUUGUUUUUUGGACAAUAAAAAUACUAUAACAGUCCACUUAAAAUAGAUACUACUAAUCAUUACUAUACAAUGUUUUUAAUCUAACCAAUAAUUAAGAGUCCUAAUUACAUUAAUGUGUGAUUUACAAAAAAAUACAACUAUCAUUAACUCUUCGAAUUAAUCAUCUUUUAAAAAUAUUUUGGUCAAAGAAAAUUUAGCCAAAUUUAUAUGGCAUAUCAAUUAUACUAUACUUAGAGCAUCUCCAACUUCACUCUAUUUUCCACUCUAUAAUAGAGUAAAACAUGAGUAAGUUAUUUUUUUUGUUCAUCACUCUGUUUUCUACUCUAAAAUAGAGUACCAUUGGAGUAUAACUCAACUCCAUUAUAGAAUUACUCUAUUUUAG